rnacentral:sRNA from 1 species
GAGCUAGUCUUGGAAACUGAAAAUGUUGGACCAGAGUCUCUGCCCAUUCCUUUAGCUUUGGGUCCAGCUGUGGUCUGGGGUGGGAUGGGAGUCUGACCUUGCCUCACACAGGGCCUGUCUGUGCUCAUUGUGGCCAUCCACAUCCUGGAGCUGCUCAUCGAUGAGGCUGCCAUGCCCCGAGGCAUGCAGGGUGCCUCCUUAGGCCAGGUCUCCUUCUCCAAGCUGGGCUCCUUUGGUGCCAUCAUUCAGGUUGUACUCAUCUUGUAUCCUUCUGGAAACCCAUCAUUGCCUCUGUUCAGCAAACCUGUCUCCUGGGACUCUAGACCGAGCACUCCUUUGGGACUCUGAGCAACGCUGAUGGGAAGUGGGAUAAUUGGGAACUGUGUCUGUCUCCUGGUCCUAAGCUCAGCACUUCCUGUCUUCUCUCGAACCCUGGGGCUCACUCGCUUUGACCUGCUGGGUGACUUUGGACGCUUCAACUGGCUGGGCAAUUUCUACAUUGUGUUCCUCUACAACGCAGCCUUUGCAGGCCUCACCACACUCUGUCUGGUGAAGACCUUCACUGCAGCUGUGCGGGCAGAGCUGAUCCGGGCCUUUGGGCUGGACAGACUGCCGCUGCCCGUCUCCGGUUUCCCCCAGGCAUCUAGGAAGACCCAGCACCAGUGACCUCCAGCUGGGGGUGGGAAGGAAAAAACUGGACACUGCCAUCUGCUGCCUAGGCCUGGAGGGAAGCCCAAGGCUACUUGGACCUCAGGACCUGGAAUCUGAGAGGGUGGGUGGCAGAGGGGAGCAGAGCCAUCUGCACUAUUGCAUAAUCUGAGCCAGAGUUUGGGACCAGGACCCCCUGCUUUUCCAUACUUAACUGUGGCCUCAGCAUGGGGUAGGGCUGGGUGACUGGGUCUAGCCCCUGAUCCCAAAUCUGUUUACACAUCAAUCUGCCUCACUGCUGUUCUGGGCCAUCCCCAUAGCCAUGUUUACAUGAUUUGAUGUGCAAUAAGGUGGGGUAGGGGC